UUUUUCCAUGCCAGGAAGGUGCUGCCAUUUGAGGCUGCUGGGUUCUCUACACAGCAGAUGUGAAAGACAUACACAAAAGCACUUCAGGCUUCUUGGACACAGUUUUCAUAAGGUUUCAAAAAUCCGCCCCUACUGACUGGUCUGAAAUUAUGAAGUGAACUGCAGACAAAGAAAUGGAUUUUUUUGUCAGUGAUUGCUCACAAUCUGGAUAUUACAGCAAUUUCAGAGUCACCUGGAGGAGUCUGAAACCAUUCUGUCCACCCUUGGCAAGGAAAGAUUGUGUCUCAGACCUCAAACUAGAAGCUCUUCCAAAGGAACCACUGGAUUGCUCCUGUAAUGACUAUUUUCUCAAUAAUGGGGAGAUUCUCGGUGUGGGAAGGAGAAGCCGAAGAGCGGAAGGGCUGAAGAGAAGAUACCUGUAGCAACGUGCUGCUUG